rnacentral:rRNA from 1 species
AGGACGAACGCUGGCGGCGUGCUUAACACAUGCAAGUCGAGCGGAAAGGCCCUUCGGGGUACUCGAGCGGCGAACGGGUGAGUAACACGUGAGUAAUCUGCCCCUAGCUCUGGGAUAGCUCCGGGAAAACCGGGAUUAAUACCGGAUACGACCACUUUAGACAUCUGUUGUGGUGGAAAGAAUUUUGGCUAGGGAUGAGCUCGCGGCCUAUCAGCUUGUUGGUGGGGUAAUGGCCUACCAAGGCGACGACGGGUAGCCGGCCUGAGAGGGCGACCGGCCACACUGGGACUGAGACACGGCCCAGACUCCUACGGGAGGCAGCAGUGGGGAAUAUUGCGCAAUGGGCGAAAGCCUGACGCAGCGACGCCGCGUGGGGAUGAAGGCCUUCGGUUGUAACCCCUUUCAGCGAGGGACGAAGCGAAGUGACGGUACCUGCAGAAGAGCGCCGGCUAACGUACGUGCCAGCAGCCGC